GCCUUUUCUUUUUCCCCCGACUUUCUCCUCGGUUCUUCCUCUGCUUCUCGCGACUUCAGACUUCAUGCGACCGAGAACGAUGACUUCUCCUUCUCUCGGUGGCGCCAGCGAGGAGCGGACCUUGGAGCGGUGAGAGGAAGAGAGAUCUCGAUUUGGGGAUCUUGCCUGCUGUCGGAAGGGGAUCGAGGGCAUUGAGAUUUGGAUCUGGCCAGCGUCGACCGCUUGGGGGAGGUAACGACCAUCGCUUCCUCCCGAUCUCCUUCUCUGUUCGUUAACAAGGAAACCGAUCGUGCCCUAGCUGUGAUCUUUGAGCUCGGUUGGAUCGAUCUCUUCAUCAGAUCUGUGAUUACCUCAGACGAUUGAAGGGUGAAGAGGACCUUGAUUGGCGACGUUCUACGUGACGUGGGUGGUUCUGUCGAUACGGGAUAUAUUGAGGCGGCUAGUAGGUAGAUGAUAUGGAGCUGCUUGGAGUACAUUGCCAACCGGUCCCACUUCCCACGUUAUAUCCGAGGAUUCUUAUCGGUUUUGCUUCUCUUUUCCUACUCUUCGUAUUUGUUGGAUUUAGAGUUGUGCGAACGAACUAUGUUUGGACAUGUGUAUUGUGGACUUGUAUCUAUGAUGUGUUUCGUGGACUUUAGUA